rnacentral:rRNA from 1 species
CCUACGGGAGGCAGCAGUGGGGAAUAUUGGGCAAUGGAGGCAACUCUUACCCAGCAAUGCCGCGUGAAUGAAGAAGGUCUUCGGAUUGUAAAGUUCUUUAAUUGGGGACGAAAAAAAUGACGGUACCCCAGGAAUAAGCCCCGGCUAACUACGUGCCAGCAGCCGCGGUAAUACGUAGGGGGCAAGCGUUGGUCGGAAUGACUGGGCGUAAAGGGUGUGUAGGCGGUGUGGAAAGUUAGAAGUGAAAUACCUAGGGCUUAACUCAGGUGUUGCUUCUAAUACUGCUAGACUUGAGUGCAGUAGAGGAAGGUGGAAUGCCUGGUGUAGCGGUGGAAUGCGUAGAGAUUAGGAGGAACAUCAGUGGCGAAGGCGACUUUCUAGACUGUAACUGACGCUGAGGCACGAAAGUGUGGGGAGCAAACAGGAGUAGAUACCCCUGUAGUC